GUUUACAUCAAACCACCUUUCAUACAUUUGGUAAACUCAGUCCGUGGGGAAGCUUUGUUUUCCUGCCCUGUUGUAGCACCUGAAAGAACAGAAGAUGGGAAAAAAUGUGUGUCUCAGAAUUAUGGAUGUGCAGCUCCUUGUGAUUGUGACUUGCAUUCUUUUGAACUCGCUCUCAAUUGAAAGUAUGAAAGGGAAGUCUAACAUUG